GGGCCCCGCAGAGGAAGGAAGCCGGCCGGCGGGGGAGGUGCAGCUCACGUGUGGAGCGCAACAGUAAAAUCAGACGACAGAUGGGCAGUGUGACAAGAGUGUCAGAAAGGAUUGGUCCUCGAUGUGAGAGUCAGCCUGGAGUCAAAGUGUUGACAAGUUGCUGAAAAGGAAGCCAUUGCGAGGACUGUGGCACGUGGAAGAAGUGGGGCCCUGUCUUCAGCUACACCAUUGAUGGAGGACAGAUGGACAGCCGGACAACCAGUCACCUCUCCUCUUAAACCUUUGGAGAGUGGUCUUUUGUCCCCUGCUGGACACAUAUUAGGAGUUUUAACACACUCUCUGAAUUCUCUCUUUAUAAAAACGUAAAGUUAGACUGCAGUGCACAGCCAGACUCUUCUAUUGCAUGGUAACAGAUUUGCAAACAUGAGUGCCGAGGGGUACCAGUACAGAGCACUGUAUGAUUACAAAAAGGAAAGAGAAGAAGAUAUUGACUUGCACUUGGGUGACAUAUUGACUGUGAAUAAAGGGUCCUUAGUAGCGCUUGGAUUCAGUGAGGGACAGGAAGCCAGGCCUGAAGAAAUUGGCUGGCUCAAUGGCUAUAAUGAAACCACGGGGGAGAGGGGGGACUUUCCGGGAACUUAUGUAGAAUAUAUUGGAAGGAAAAAAAUCUCGCCUCCCACACCAAAGCCCCGGCCACCUCGGCCCCUUCCUGUUGCACCUGGUUUUUCGAAAACUGAAGCGGACAGUGAACAACAAGGAGGAAAGAUACCUCAAUCAGAUAACUCAAAAGUUAUAUACCAUUGAUACAUACAUUUAUCUUUCAUUUCUGUUAUUUCUGAAGAAAUUAAAACUCUGCCUCAAAUGUU